rnacentral:rRNA from 1 species
UACGGAGGGUGCAAGCGCUAUCCGGAUUCACUGGGUUUAAAGGGUGUGUAGGCGGGCAUUUAAGUCAGUGGUGAAAUCUCCAGGCUCAACCUGGAAACUGCCAUUGAUACUAUUUGUCUUGAAUCCUGUUGAGGUGGGCGGAAUAUAUCAUGUAGCGGUGAAAUGCUUAGAUAUGAUAUAGAACACCGAUUGCGAAGGCAGCUCACUAAGCAGGUAUUGACGCUGAGGCACGAAAGCGUGGGGAUCAAACAGG